UACGUAGGGGGCAAGCGUUGUCCGGAUUUACUGGGCGUAAAGAGCGCGCAGGCGGUCUUGCAAGUCGCGUGUGAAAGCCCCCGGCUCAACUGGGGAGGGUCACGCGAUACUGCUCGACUCGAAGGCAGGAGAGGGAAGUGGAAUUCCCGGUGUAGUGGUGAAAUGCGUAGAUAUCGGGAGGAACACCAGUGGCGAAGGCGACUUCCUGGACUGUUAUUGACGCUGAGGCGCGAAAGCUAGGGUAGCAAACGGG
rnacentral:rRNA from 1 species